AUUGAACGCUGGCGGCAUGCCUUACACAUGCAAGUCGAACGGCAGCACGGGGCAACCUGGUGGCGAGUGGCGAACGGGUGAGUAAUGCAUCGGAACGUACCUUUCAGUGGGGGAUAACGUAGCGAAAGUUACGCUAAUACCGCAUAUUCUGUGAGCAGGAAAGCAGGGGAUCGCAAGACCUUGCGCUGAUUGAGCGGCCGAUGUCAGAUUAGCUAGUUGGUGAGGUAAAGGCUCACCAAGGCGACGAUCUGGAGCGGGUCUGAGAGGAUGAUCCGCCACACUGGAACUGAGACGCGGUCCAGACUCCUACGGGAGGCAGCAGUGGGGAAUUUUGGACAAUGGGGGCAACCCUGAUCCAGCCAUGCCGCGUGAGUGAAGAAGGCCUUCGGGUUGUAAAGCUCUUUCGGCCGGGAAGAAAUCGCACGGGCUAAUACCCUGUGUGGAUGACGGUACCGGAAUAAGAAGCACCGGCUAACUACGUGCCAGCCGCCGCAGUAAUAC
rnacentral:rRNA from 1 species